rnacentral:tRNA from 1 species
UGCCCAGGUGGUGAAAUUGGUAGACACGCCAGAUUUAGGUUCUGGUGCCGUAAGGUGUGUAAGUUCGAGUCUUAUCCUGGGCAA